rnacentral:rRNA from 1 species
GACGAACGCUGGCGGCGUGCUUAACACAUGCAAGUCGAACGGAAAGGCCCUGCUUUUGUGGGGUGCUCGAGUGGCGAACGGGUGAGUAACACGUGAGUAACCUGCCCUUGACUUUGGGAUAACUUCAGGAAACUGGGGCUAAUACCGGAUAGGAGCUCCUGCUGCAUGGUGGGGGUUGGAAAGUUUCGGCGGUUGGGGAUGGACUCGCGGCUUAUCAGCUUGUUGGUGGGGUAGUGGCUUACCAAGGCUUUGACGGGUAGGCGGCCUGAGAGGGUGACCGGCCACAUUGGGACUGAGAUACGGCCCAGACUCCUACGUGAGGCAGCAGGGGGGAAUAUUGCACAAGGGGCGGAAGCCUGAUGCAGCAACGCCGCGUGCGUGAUGACGGCCUUCGGGUUGUAUACCGCUUUCGCCUGUGACGAAGCGUGAGUGACGGUAAUGGGUAAAGAAGCACCGGCUAACUACGUG